UCUCCGUUGGUGAACCAGCGGAGGGAUCAUUACCGAGUUUACAACUCCCAAACCCAAUGUGAACCAUACCAACUGUUGCCUCGGCGGGGUCACGCCCCGGGUGCGUCGCAGCCCCGGAACCAGGCGCCCGCCGGAGGGACCAACCAAACUCUUUCUGUAGUCCCCUCGCGGACGUUAUUUUUACAGCUCUGAGCAAAAAUUCAAAAUGAAUCAAAACUUUCAACAACGGAUCUCUUGGUUCUG
rnacentral:misc_RNA from 1 species